UCUUUUUCUGGUUAGAACCAAAGACUGAACAGUCAGAUUUUUUUGCCUCUCUCACUUUGCUCUUACACACACACACACACACACACACACACACACACACACACACACACACACACACACAAACACACACACACACCCUCCUGCUCACUCACUCUAAUGUCAUUAGCAAGAGGAAGCGGUUCUCAAACAGAGAGGAAACUAUGUUCGGAGCAGAUAAAGAGGCAAGUUUCUGCUAAAAUAAUAGCAUGGGUCCUCUCCUAUUAUUGUUUGAAUGUGGGGAAAAAAUGUGAGGGCUGCUUCCUGUCUCUCUGGGAGAGCUGUCAGCUUUGGCCAGGAGAGAGAGCCAGGGGGGAGAGAGAGAGGGGAGAGAGCGAGAGAGCGAGAGAGAGAGAGAGCAAUGCAACGAAUGUAGAAAAGAGGAUGGAGGAGCGAGAGUUGAGGAAAGAAGUACAUGUGAGACAGAGAAAGAACAAGACAGAGGGAGAGAGACAGCAAGAGAAUCUGCACUGUUUGUGGCCUUCUGCCAGUUAAAAGUUCUCACUGUUCCCUCAGUGCUGGUGUUUAAUCAGAAGCAAAAAAAAAAAAAAAAUCCUUCCAGCUGGUUUUCAUGAGCAAUCUCCACCAUCACAAUAGCUGUAAGAAGUUUAAACAGAACCUGUCAACAGCCAGAUCAGAGGGAACCGACACAUCCCCUCUGGCCCAUAAACUCAUAAAGAGGUAUGUUAUUGACCCUGUUGUCAAUGGAGUCUGGACAGAAGAGUCUCCAAAUGUCUCACCCCACUUUGUCCCCCUGCUGUGAGCACAGCAUUUAUCCCAUUUGCUGCUUUAAGCUGGAUGAGAAACAUUAGGACACUAAAGCUCUGGUCAUUCACAUUUAAUGAUGGAACUUCUCCUUUUACGGGCCAUGACGCACCAAGCCAACUGUCAGCCAUCAGGACAAGAACAGUCACGAUAACUGCAUGAUAAAAGAGUCAGAGUGCCGUCCACUGCCGAAAGCACCUACAAUGGGUGUGUGAGCAUCAGAACUGGAGCAUGGAGCAAUGGAAGAAGGUGGCCUGGUCUGAUUAAUCACUUUUUUUUUUUACAUCACAUGGACAGCUGGGUGGGUGUGUGUUGCUUAAAUGGGGAAGAGAUGGCACAGGGAUGCACUAUGGGAAGAAGGCAAGCCCAUGGAGGCAAUGUGAUGCUCUGGGAAACCUUGGGUCCUGGCAUGCAUGUGGAUGACACGUACCACCUACCUAAACAUUGUUGCAGACCCCCCCCCCCCUCCCUCAUGGCAACGGUAUUCCCAAAUGGCAGUGGCCUAUUUCAGCAGGAUAAUGUGUCCUGCCACACUGCAAAAACUGUUCUGGAAUGGUUUGACGAACAUGACAAAGAGUUCAAGAUGUUGACUUGGCCUCUAAAUUCCCCCAGAUCUCAAUCCGAUCAAGCAUCUGUGGGAUGUGCUGGAGAAACAAGUCCGAUCCAUGGAGGCCCCACCUCGUGACUUACAGGAUUUAAAGGAUCUGCUGCUAACGUCUUGGUGCCAGAUACCACAGCACACCUUCAGAGGUCUUGUGGAGUCCAUACCUCGACAGGUCAGAGCUGUUUUGGCGGCACAGGGGGCCUACACAAUAUUAAGCAUGUGGUUUUAAUUUUAUGGCUGAUCUGUCUUGUCUGUCUAUCCAUCCAUCCGAUAUAUCAUAUCUAUCUAUCUAUGCAUAUAGUCUAAAAUACUUAACAUUAUUUUAUUUUUCUUAUUUUAUUUAGAUCUUCUAUUUUUAAUUAUGAUGGCUGGUAGGAAGUGCUAAGCAAUAAUUUCCUUGUACAGUGUAACUGUCUGUUCCCUCUACAUAUGUCAGUAAAGUCUUGAAUCUUAAACUGGCGAUAUCUGCUCCAAGGAACCUGCAUUCUGCUAAUUUACACCUGGUUUUGAAAGGCAGGGGAAAAAAACAAAAACAAACAAACAAACAAAAAAAAAACACAA